CGCUUUCGCAGAGAAACGACUCAUAAAAAACCAUAAAACUCAAGAUGAAAUUCUUUAUGACAUUAUUCGUUGCUUUGGUAGCAAUUUUCGCAACAGUUUCCACAGGCCAUCAACCAGGACACUACCCAGCCCCAGCUCCACCAGCU